CACGUAGGGUGCGAGCGUUGUCCGGAAUUAUUGGGCGUAAAGAGCUCGUAGGCGGUGUGUCGCGUCGGCCGUGAAAACCCGCGGCUUAACUGCGGGCUUGCAGUUGAUACGGGCAGGCUAGAGUUCGGUAGGGGAGACUGGAAUUCCUGGUGUAGCGGUGAAAUGCGCAGAUAUCAGGAGGAACACCGGUGGCGAAGGCGGCCACCUGGACAGUUACUGACGCUGAGACGCGAAAGCGUGGGGAGCAAACAGG
rnacentral:rRNA from 1 species